CCAAAUGGGUGGUAAACAUCACCUAAGGCUAAAUAUUGGCGAGAGACCGAUAGCGAACAAGUACCGUGAGGGAAAGAUGAAAAGAACUUUGAAAAGAGAGUUAAACAGUACGUGAAAUUGUUGAAAGGGAAACGAUUGAAGUCAGUCGUGCUGGCGCGAAAUCAACCCUCUCGUCGAGAGGUCACAUGGCGUGGCGAGCCUCAAAACCGUCACGAAGCGUGAACUCUUGGCGAAAAGGAGCACUUUCGUGUCCGCUGGUUAACAUCAAUUUCGAACGUCAUAAAAAGGCUGGAGGGAUGCGGCUCCUUCGGGAGUGUUAUAACCUUUAGCGGAAUGUGGUGGUCGGGAUUGAGGAUAGCAACGAAUACCUUUAGGGCUGUUCCACCUGGCUUCUCUUUGGUAUCCUGGUGACGACAGCUUGCUGACGUCGUUAGGAUUCGCCUUUGAACAGGCUAAAGUGUGAGCAA
rnacentral:rRNA from 1 species